AAUUAGAACGGGUGGGGGUAUAUAUAAGGACACCGGGGAGACUGUAUGGCGUCUUCCUUCUCCCCAGCAGGUUGGCUGUGGAGUUUUCUCUCCCUAGAGGUUUAGAGGUUUUUAUCUGUGCAGCCCUUUGCGGAAACCUUGGAUGGAGAUUCCUUUAUACAUUCCUUUCGGAUCCCACUUUUCAUCCUAGACAUAAUAUUACGCCAUGAAUAUUGGAUCCUUGUUCCUGGUCUCUGAUGAGAUGGUUGGGUGACCCAUUAUUUGAUCAGAGUGGUGUUUUGGAUGGGGAUACACUUUUUUGACAGCGUGGAGACUGCUGGGGGUUUGAUGCAUACACACAGGCAUUCAAUAAAAUACAAUAAGACACAAUAUGAUGUGGAAAAUUGGGAGAA